rnacentral:rRNA from 1 species
GAUCCUGGCUCAGGAUGAACGCUAGCUACAGGCUUAACACAUGCAAGUCGAGGGGCAGCAUGGGAUAGCUUGCUAUUCAGAUGGCGACCGGCGCACGGGUGAGUAACGCGUAUCCAACCUUCCUGCCAGUAGGGAACAGCCCGGCGAAAGUCGGAUUAAUGCCCUAUGUUCUUCAAUGCGGACAUCUAAGUUGAAGGAAAGAUUCAUCGCUGGCAGAUGGGGAUGCGUCCGAUUAGCUUGCCGGCGGGGUAACGGCCCACCGGGGCGACGAUCGGUAGGGGUUCUGAGAGGAAGGUCCCCCACACUGGUACUGAGACACGGACCAGACUCCUACGGGAGGCAGCAGUGAGGAAUAUUGGUCAAUGGGCGUAAGCCUGAACCAGCCAAGUAGCGUGCAGGACGACGGCCCUACGGGUUGUAAACUGCUUUUAUGCGGGGAUAAAGUGCGGCACGUGUGCCGCUUUGCAGGUACCGCAUGAAUAAGGACCGGCUAAUUCCGUGCCAGCAGCCGC